AUUGAACGCUGGCGGCAUGCCUUACACAUGCAAGUCGAACGGCAGCACGGGAGCAAUCCUGGUGGCGAGUGGCGAACGGGUGAGUAAUAUAUCGGAACGUGCCCAGUCGUGGGGGAUAACGUAGCGAAAGCUACGCUAAUACCGCAUACGAUCUAUGGAUGAAAGCGGGGGAUCGCAAGACCUCGCGCGAUUGGAGCGGCCGAUAUCAGAUUAGGUAGUUGGUGAGGUAGAGGCUCACCAAGCCGACGAUCUGUAGCUGGUCUGAGAGGACGACCAGCCACACUGGGACUGAGACACGGCCCAGACUCCUACGGGAGGCAGCAGUGGGGAAUUUUGGACAAUGGGCGCAAGCCUGAUCCAGCAAUGCCGCGUGCAGGAUGAAGGCCUUCGGGUUGUAAACUGCUUUUGUACGGAACGAAACGGCGAGCUCUAAUACAGUUUGCUAAUGACGGUACCGUAAGAAUAAGCACCGGCUAACUACGUGCCAGCAGCCGCCGUAACAC
rnacentral:rRNA from 1 species